AUGCGGUACUCGCCGGUGUGCCCUCCUGACCCCUCGCCGACCAGAGUAGCUUGCCGGAGCAGCUGCUUCCGUCGCCGGCCGAUCGCCCCUGUCCUCCUCUGUUCUUCGCGUCGGGAGGAGGAACAAGGAGCGAGAGGAGAGAGAGAGAUCCCGUGGACCCCAUGUGUAAGCCUCUUAGCCGCCUGGCCCCGCCUUGUCAUGCUGGAUAAGAGGAGGCGUAUUCUUCAGAAUGCAUCUUCUCAGCUGGAAAGCACACUUUCAUUUUGUUUUAGCUUACAAUGUUUCUACUCUGUUCUAAAGGCGUAA
rnacentral:rRNA from 1 species